UACGUAGGGUGCGAGCGUUGUCCGGAAUUUAUUGGGCGUAAAGGGCUCGUAGGCGGUUUGUCGCGUCGGGAGUGAAACCUUGGGCCUUAACUCAGGGCUUGCUUUCGAUACGGGCAGACUAGAGGUAUGCAGGGGAGAACGGAAUUCCUGGUGUAGCGGUGAAAUGCGCAGAUAUCAGGAGGAACACCGGUGGCGAAGGCGGGAUCCUGGGCCAGUACGUGACGCUGAGGAGCGAAAGCG
rnacentral:rRNA from 1 species